UCAGAAGUGCGAAUGCUGACAUAAGUAACGAUAAAGCGGGUGAAAAGCCCGCUCGCCGGAAGACCAAGGGUUCCUGUCCAACGUUAAUCGGGGCAGGGUGAGUCGACCCCUAAGGCGAGGCCGAAAGGCGUAGUCGAUGGGAAACAGGUUAAUAUUCCUGUACUUGGUGUUACUGCGAAGGGGGGACGGAGAAGGCUAUGUUGGCCGGGCGACGGUUGUCCCGGUUUAAGCGUGUAGGCUGGUUUUCCAGGCAAAUCCGGAAAAUCAAGGCUGAGGCGUGAUGACGAGGCACUACGGUGCUGAAGCGACAAAUGCCCUGCUUCCAGGAAAAGCCUCUAAGCAUCAGGUAACAUCAAAUCGUACCCCAAACCGACACAGGUGGUCAGGUAGAGAAUACCAAGGCGCUUGAGAGAACUCGGGUGAAGGAACUAGGCAAAAUGGUGCCGUAACUUCGGGAGAAGGCACGCUGAUAUGUAGGUGAAGCGACUUGCUCGUGGAGCUGAAAUCAGUCGAAGAUACCAGCUGGCUGCAACUGUUUAUUAAAAACACAGCACUGUGCAAACACGAAAGUGGACGUAUACGGUGUGACGCCUGCCCGGUGCCGGAAGGUUAAUUGAUGGGGUUAGCGGUAACGCGAAGCUCUUGAUCGAAGCCCCGGUAAACGGCGGCCGUAACUAUAACGGUCCUAAGGUAGCGAAAUUCCUUGUCGGGUAAGUUCCGACCUGCACGAAUGGCGUAAUGAUGGCCAGGCUGUCUCCACCCGAGACUCAGUGAAAUUGAACUCGCUGUGAAGAUGCAGUGUACCCGCGGCAAGACGGAAAGACCCCGUGAACCUUUACUAUAGCUUGACACUGAACAUUGAGCCUUGAUGUGUAGGAUAGGUGGGAGGCUUUGAAGUGUGGACGCCAGUCUGCAUGGAGCCGACCUUGAAAUACCACCCUUUAAUGUUUGAUGUUCUAACGUGGGCCCCUUACCGGGGUUGCGGACAGUGUCUGGUGGGUAGUUUGACUGGGGCGGUCUCCUCCUAAAGAGUAACGGAGGAGCACGAAGGUUGGCUAAUCCUGGUCGGACAUCAGGAGGUUAGUGCAAUGGCAUAAGCCAGCUUGACUGCGAGCGUGACGGCGCGAGCAGGUGCGAAAGCAGGUCAUAGUGAUCCGGUGGUUCUGAAUGGAAGGGCCAUCGCUCAACGGAUAAAAGGUACUCCGGGGAUAACAGGCUGAUACCGCCCAAGAGUUCAUAUCGACGGCGGUGUUUGGCACCUCGAUGUCGGCUCAUCACAUCCUGGGGCUGAAGUAGGUCCCAAGGGUAUGGCUGUUCGCCAUUUAAAGUGGUACGCGAGCUGGGUUUAGAACGUCGUGAGACAGUUCGGUCCCUAUCUGCCGUGGGCGCUGGAGAACUGAGGGGGGCUGCUCCUAGUACGAGAGGACCGGAGUGGACGCAUCACUGGUGUUCGGGUUGUCAUGCCAAUGGCACUGCCCGGUAGCUAAAUGCGGAAGAGAUAAGUGCUGAAAGCAUCUAAGCACGAAACUUGCCCCGAGAUGAGUUCUCCCUGACUCCUUGAGAGUCCUGAAGGAACGUUGAAGACGACGACGUUGAUAGGCCGGGUGUGUAAGCGCAGCGAUGCGUUGAGCUAACCGGUACUAAUGAACCGUGAGGCUUAACCUUACAACGCCGAAG
rnacentral:rRNA from 1 species